rnacentral:tRNA from 1 species
AAGAGAUUAGUUAAAGAUAUAACAUUAAUUUGUCAAAUUAAAAUUAUUUAUUAAUAUCACUUA